rnacentral:lncRNA from 1 species
UCAAUGUUCCAAUCUAUAAUAGUUCGACCAGUAUAUGUAGAGGUAUGACUUGUAAGGUCUUCUUCUAAUUGGAUAUCAACUGGGGUUGGUCUUUUAUAAUAUGGUCGGGCAUUUAUUGGUUGCCAAUUUUUAUUAUAGUUGACUCGAUUUAUCGUAUCCGGGGUAAUAUGAUGUUCAGAAAGUGCUUUUUGUAUAUUUGAUAUUGUG